CCCCCAGACACAACUAACGCCACCCGCGCACUCUCGAAAACAUACGAAUACGUACUGCGUAAGUAUUAAGCAGUCGCCGUUCACCUGGCUCCUCUAGGGACUAGGGUUUCUUCGUUUUUCUCCUCCACGUUCUCUCUCUUUCACGCUCGCUCUAAGACAACCCUAAUAUCUUGUUUAAACUUAGAAUUUGAACUCCGUUACUGUGCUCAUGGACACACUCUCUGUUCAUGCCGUCUCUUGCACUCGCUCUUUCCUUCCCAUUCUCUCAUCACUCCCAUCUCCCUCUUUGAAGAACAGGAUGCGGUUGUAAUCUCUCUUCGCCGCCAACGAGACGCGAUGUGCGAGAGAAUAUAUAAUUUCGUAACUAUCCGGUUCAAGCAGGGAAUCCGAGUCGACAAUCAUCCUGGCCUUGUUACCUAUCACACCGUGCUUCCUCUUCACGUCUUCGAUCGCGGAUUAUUUCUGUUGCGUAUGCUUCGUCUUCUUCAGUCUUAUAUUCCUCUCUUUUUUCUCUGUUUAAUUUUAGGUUUUCUAUUGUUCAAUUAUUUUUAGGUUUUUUCUUUGUAGCCAAAUCUCUGCCUCGAAUUUGAACUUCGGACUCUCAUGUACACACUCUUGCCUCUCUCUUGCAUGCGCUCUGUCUUUCCGAUUCUCCCAUCUCUCUAUCUCCCUCCAUGUAGAACACGAUGAGGUUGAUCUCUAUUCGCGCCGUCUGUGACAGGCGAUGUGCUAAAGAAUGACUCCGCAAAUCUCUCGUUCAAGUAGGAUCUUAUCCGGGCCUUGCAGCCGCUGCCGCCUCGGAGUAUCAGGCGGUGGUUACUCAUUACGUCUUCGAUCGCCGGAUUCUUUCUAGUGUGUAUGCUUCUUCUUAUAUUCGUAUUUUCUCUCGUUUUCUCUGUAGGUCAAUUCUUCUUGUAUUCCUAUUUUAUCUGUCUAGUUUUCUCUAUAGGUCGAUUUUUUUUAGGUUAUUCUUUCUUCCUACUGUAAUCUCUUGUUAAAACCUACAAUUUAUACUCUGUUACUACUUUAAUGGAUACACUCUCUGUUCAUGACUUAUUGUACGCGCUCUCCACCAUUCCGUUUCUCUCAUCACUCCACCUCAUUUCAUGAACACUAUGCAGUUGUUUACUAUCCGUCACCUGGGAAAGAGAGGCUAUGCACGCCCUGUAUUUCUCUUGUUCUAGUAGGAUUUCCGGGUUGACAGUCAGGCCUUGUAUCUUCGCCCGAGUUUCAGGGGUGUAAUCUCAUAAUUUUAUAUCACCCCUAUCGGAACUCUAGUGGAUGUUGUUGAAGCAGAAAUCAGACUUGAUGGUUCGUAGCCGAUGUACCUUCAAAUGCUGAUGCCACAAUCAAUUGUAAAGACGAAUACCUCUUUCCUAUGCUGGAAUGAUUUACAUCCAUUGCUAAGGUGAGUAUCAUCGUUUCCUUUUGAUGAUGAUGCCUUUUUGUUCUGUUCAAAAUGAUAUGAUCUCAAUCUGAUGUUAAGAAAAGGUUUAUACCCUGAUCAAAUGUCUUCGAAUGUGUGUCGAAAAGAGUUGAGCUAUCGAGGAUUCCUAAAUUCGGUAUACUUUGAGCCAUUUUGGUGAGUUAGUGUUCGGUGUUCAGGUAUACAAGUUAUACAACAAUGUCACGAUAUGAAAAUAUAGUAAACUGGUUUGCUAUUAUUGGUUAUUUUAUGGAUUUAUCCAGUGGAAAUACUUUUUUAUUUUAGGCAGGAUAGUGUGCGCCUUUCAUCAGCGAUUGCGAACCCAAAGGAAAAACAGAUAGGCAACAAAAACGCAUGUAUCUAUUCAAACAUCUUAAUUCCUGGCAAGGUGCCUUCACCUAGGUAAGUACCUUGAUGUGAGGUGCCAUUGCACGCGCCCAGUGUAUAUGUCUCUGUUUGCUCUCUGGAGCUUAAACAAAUGAUAUUACAGGUUAGGCCAUGUCAUGAAAAAGAAGAGUUUGUUCAUAGAGAAGAGAGAUGGUUAGCAGCUCCUUGAUAGGGAUGAGAUUUGGCUUCAACCCUUUUUUGUUGAUAUGCAUACAUGUAUACACGCCAAGGCUAUUUGGUCUGGCAGAUCUUUUAACCAAUUUUUUCCAUUGGUAUUUUUUCCAGAGGAAUUUUUGGCCUUUUAGAACUUCAAAACACAACCUGUGCUGGUCUAGUGCGCUUUAAGGCUGUAAUUUUGAGCCUGGCCUAUUUCAAGAACUGGCUAAAGGAGAAAACGACCAAAAAUUCUCUUAUAAAAGGACGUUUGUGCGAAAUCCUAAUGGUAGCUUUUGCAGUUCUCCUGGGAAAAAAGGGGAAUUAUAGGACCAUUUUGUAGGGAGAGAAAAGGGCACAGGAGGAAGAAGGAAAUCCACUUUGGAUGCUUCAAAUUAUUUUAUGACUGAUUUCAUUAGUGAUUUAUUGUGUUGGAUAAUGUAUACAUUUUUUAAUUUAAAAUUUUCUGUUCUUUUUUUAA